AUCAGUGUUCGAGGUCUCCUCUUUUCAUCUCGCACUCUGCGCCGCAUCGCUCCCGCUCUCUUUAUGUGCUCUCUUUUGUCAAGUUCUUUUGAAUGAUUUGGACAUGGUAGUGACAUUUGUUCACUUUUGGGUUGUUCACCGUGGGUCUAAACAUAGUGGGUGCGACCUAAAUUCUGCGUUUCGCGAUCGAAUUGUCGUUUCUUUUGCUGGCUGCCUCCUUCUGGAGCAACAAACCGAUUUUGCGAUGUUUCCUGUAGGCUGAAGUAUGGAGUCAGAAGUAGUGGACCACUGCAGAGCAAAGAACGUUGUGGUUGUGAUUACAGGUAGAUCGAACAAGUUUGUUGCCACCUGCCUACACUACAAUGUUGUAGAUAGCGAACUCGAAGCCUUGACUGCUGCAAUUCUCCCAUCACGUCAGCUGUGUUUGUGUGUGCCUUGUCAUAAGUGGGUCCGUGUUAGUUUGUAUUUUUGUCAUACCUUCGUCGAAUUAAGUAUCGGGUUGAUUCAAUUGGUUCGUAUAUGUUGAUGCAUACUUCAGUAAUCAAUUAUGUUGUAGUCGCCUGGCCUUCAACUAUGCGCAUUAACGAGUUGGUUCACGUUGAUGAGAUUUCUUAUUGCAGUACGACUAUAGGACAUCGGUGUACUUUCACAAAUUUUUUGUUACUUAGUUCCUUUUGAUUCGAACGAAGUUUGCAGGCAGCUUGUGUUGGCCGGGUUUCUGUCAAUGAUGUGGCGUCAGAGCGAAGCACAGUUACAAAAAUAUAUUAUAUCUCAACUUUUGUGUUGGUUUUCCAAGACGCUUCAUUGAACUUGUAGAUUUCUUGGACUUUUCUUUCUUCUAGGUACCCCAACUGGAGAGCUACAUUUCAUGAAUGCAAAGGUUCAUGUUAUGGAGAUUGCAGUGAUAAAACCUCCUGUCGUGAUCUUCACACGUAGUUGAACUGGAAAGCUCUUGAUUUGAACCAUAUUUUUAACCUGAUUUCAUUUAAGCCAUAA